ACGCGAAGACAAAGAGUCGGAAUGACGCGCGUACAACGAGGUUUUCCUAACAAUGAACUCAAGGCGAGAUAACCAUGGACAUCCAAUGUCACAAAAUUAAUGUCAAACAACCGAGUGCCGGUUACAGUAAAGUCUGUUCCUUGCAUCUCAAAUUUUCAUUACUUCACAUCUAAGCAUGACACAUUAAUACCUAAGGUUCCUUGUAAGAGUAAACUCAAUUCUGCAGCCUCAAAACUACAUAUUUCAGAGCCUUCAGCCCCAUGAGCAUGUCCUGACGCCUACAAUAAUUAGUUGCAACACGUUUAAAAGUAAAAAUCAAUAUAUAAGAUGCAGUCUCUAGUCAUCGACUUAGCUAUUGACAAUAAAAAAUGGACAGCACGCAAAACUGCAAGCACCCCAGGAGUUACUAUAUUACAAAAACAGAUACCAACGUCUGACAUAUGAAAAAACAGUUCCUACACAAAGAACCAUUAAAGAAGCUCAAUGCAAUUCAAGUAUAACAGUAAAGAAUAGAGAGCAAGCUUUCUAAACGUGUACCUGAAUGAGAAUGAUAUUUGCACCUUUUGAGUGAGCAUCACUAACAAACCUAUGUAGUUAUCAUACAAACAAAACAUAAGUAAAUUGGUGACCAAGAGCAUUGGAAAGAUCAAACACUCUAAAAAACUACUAUCAUGAUCAAAUACAUGAUACAUAAUUCAAGCUCAAUGAUUUACUUAAUAUAUUUCACAGAGUUAACAACCUCAUCAUUUGAUAUAUUGGCAUGCAUUAAAAAUUUUACCAUACAAAUUAAAACUCAGAAACCAUACAGUAUAUUGGCAUGCAUUACUAUAGUCUAAAAGUAAAACUCAGAAACCAUACAAAUUCUAUAAAACAGUACAUAAACGAUAGUCCACCUGACCUGUUUAGAGCGAGGUGUGGUAAGCCAUCCAAAUAGAAAAGUAUAAGAUAUAAGUUUCUGUGAAACCAUGAUCAGUUAGCUAAAUCACCAACUCUGCAAUUUAAAAAGAAAAUAUAUAGGCUUAGGUAUCUUUUUUAUUUUUAUCAAAAGAAAACAUCAAAAGCCACAAGGCAUUGAGAUUCAAAAGAAUGGAAAGAACUUUGUGAUGCAAUUAUCUCAUUUUAGAUAGGGGAGCUUCUGAAUGAAUAGAGGUAAUGUACUCCUUGCUUACAAAUAAAUGAACUUUACCUCUUAAUACAAUAUAGCAUAUAAAAAAAUCAGUAGCCUACUAGGAAGCAGAAUUGAUUACGAAUAACUUGACUACAUUUUCAUGGUCACCAAGGUGGUUGUGGACACAAUAUAGUUAUUAUAGAAAUAUAUUUCCAAAAACCAUCAAAAACAUAUAAGUGACAUGUAAAACUGGAUAAGCAGGUUGCAAAUUCUAGAAGAUGUAUGGUGAGGAAGUUGUAAAAGAUAACCUACAAAGAACAAAACCAUCAAGCCAUUUAUCAUGGAAGAAAACAUGUGAACAAAGAUAAUGUAACUAUAUUGGUCAGCAUUUUCACAUUUAAAUGAAUUAUCGAAACUAAGACAUGAGCUUCUAGAAAAUAACUUCGAAAUCUAAAGCUAGUAGCUGUUGGAUUUUUUGGACGGGGGAACUUUUUUGUUCAGGAACGUACGUACGCAGUUAGGACGUUCGUACGUUCCAUUCUACAGAUAACUUUGGUGGGAAGGAACGUACGUACGUAGUUAGGGCGUACGUACGUCCCGUAGCACAGAUGUUGGUUUUUUGAAGCUGAACGUACGUACGUGAUUUCGACGUACAUACGUCCUCUCUUGGUUUUGUGUAUAUGGGCCGGUUUAAGCCCAUUUCGUGUGUGUUUGUAUGGCUAUGUUAUAAAGCCAAUUGAGAAGGUUGGAAAACCUAAUCUUCAUGUGAGAGAGAGAUUGUGAGAAGCCAUUGGUGAGUUUGAGAGAACUCUUGUGAGGAAGAACACUUUGGUUUCUUCGAGAGGGCUUGUAUAAUCGUCUUUAUUUGGAAGAUUGUUGUUUUGGUCGUGGACGUAGGCAAUAUUAGCCGAACCACGUAAAUCUUGUGUUUGUGUUUGUUUGUUUUUUUUUGCUUUGUCAUCUUUCAUACACUAUUUCAAUCUUGGGUAUUGGUGCAUAAGCUUCCGCUGCGCACAACAAGUGGCAUCAGAGCUGCAGGCUAGAUCUUGAGAGCCUUGAAGGCGUUUGAAGAAAUUUCUGCAGGUGAGUUUCUUAUUUGUGGUUUAAGGCAAAAGUUCUAUCUUGUAUCCGUGGGUUGUCAAGAAGGUGUUUGUUGAAAUUCCCGUGUGAAUUUCAGAUUUGUUUACCUUCGAUUGGUGAUUGUUUAGUGUGUGAAAGUGAUUAGUGAUGUCAGACCCAUCUUCGAGUAAGAAUGGAAGAGUGUCAUCUUUGAAGUUUGACAUCGAGAAAUUCAAUGGUAGAAACAACUUCGGCAUGUGGCAGUGCGAAGUUUUGGAUUUGCUUGCUCAGCAAGGUUUGGAAGAUGCUUUGGGUGAAAAACCCGAAAAGAUGAAAGAAGAUGAUUGGUUGAAGUUGAAUAGGCAAGUUUGUGGUGUGAUUCGCCUUUGUUUGGAAAAGGACCAGAAAUACUCGGUGAUGAAAGAAACGUCUGCUAAGGAGUUGUGGAAGAAAUUGGCUGAUAUGUAUAUGAAGAAAAGUUUAGAAACCAAGUUGUUUCUGAAGAAGAGGAUCUUCCGCAUCGAUAUGAGACCUGGUAUUUCUUUGUCUGAACCUCUGGAUGAAUUCAAUAGGCUUAUUGCUGACCUAUUGAAUUUGGAUGAGGUUGUCAGUGAUAAUGACAAGUCUCUAUGUCUUUGAACUCUNNNNNNNNNNNNNNNNNNNNNNNNNNNNNNNNNNNNNNNNNNNNNNNNNNNNNNNNNNNNNNNNNNNNNNNNNNNNNNNNNNNNNNNNNNNNNNNNNNNNAGUAUGCUGAUGUAGCAACGGCGUUACUGAACUAUGAAUGCAGGCGCAAGGACAAAGAAGUCCAUAGGGGUUCAGGUUCAACGUCCGAGGCUUUGAUGGUAAGGGGACGAUCCAAUGAUCGUACUACUGGUAGCGGAGGAAGAUCUCGAUCAAAGUCUAGAGGUAAACCUCUAGCAAAGGAUGAGUGUGCCUUUUGUCAUGGAAAAGGCCAUUGGAAGGUUGAUUGUCCCGAGUUGUCAAAGAAGGAAGAUUCUGUGUCUUCCAAAGAUAAUAAGGUAAAUGUUGCACAUACUGAUGAUAGUGAUGAUGAUUCAAAUUAUUCUUUGGCUGUUAUGGUUGAUUGCUCCACUCAAGGGUGGAUUAUGGAUUCUGCAUGUUUUCACCAUUUGUGUCACAGUAGAGAUUUGUUUGCUAGUUUUCAAAAGCUAGACUGUGAUGAUGUUGUGUUAGGUGAUGGUCGUCACAUGAAAACACUUGGUGUGGGGACUAUCAAGUUGAAGUUGGAGAAUGGUACAGUUAAAGAAUUAGUUGGUGUCCGGUAUGUUUCGGAGUUGGAGGUGAAUCUCAUCUCUCUUGGAACUUUAGAGUCUGAUGGUAUGAAGAUUGUUCUGCAAAAUGGGGCUUUAAAGGUUGUUUCUGGUGCUUUGGUUGUUAUGAGAGGGACAAGGCAACAAAAUUUGUACUAUCUUAACGGUAGUGUUGUUGGUUGUGGUGGAGAUUCUUCUUCACAUUUGGUGGAUUGUUUGACUCCUCCCAGUUUGUCAGAUGUUUGGUAAUGUGGCUUUGGUAGGCGUACGGCAGCAUGCUGUGAUGGUGGUAGUACGUAAGUUUGUUUUGGGCAUCCUUGUUUGAAUGAUAGUUNNNNNNNNNNNNNNNNNNNNNNNNNNNNNNNNNNNNNNNNNNNNNNNNNNNNNNNNNNNNNNNNNNNNNNNNNNNNNNNNNNNNNNNNNNNNNNNNNNNNAGCUGAUGUUAGUUUGCUAGCCACAGAUGUUUGUUUGAAGGCUCAAGCCCAUGAGCUAAUUGGAGCUGUGAAGUCGUUGUUUGGAGACCUUUGUAGGUUUCGGGGUGUUGAUUCAUACUCAUCUUCAGUCGGUUAUGGUCAUAAAGUGGAGAUAGUAUUUGGUAGUUUGGACCCCAUUGUUUUGGAUUAUGGUUGUUGGCCCUCUACGGGCAUUGGUGGGCAUUUGUUUUGAUUUGGCCCCUUGUGGGAAUUUGACCCUUCGGGGUAUGGUGGGCAUCGCAUAGAUGCCAUUGGAGUGAACUACGGUGGUUUGAUCCCUUAGAAGAAGGGUACGUAGGCAACCAUGAGGUGGUGCAACCGCUUUGGUCCUUCGGGACAAGUAUGGGAGUUUGGGACUUGGUGUCGGCUUAGAUUUAUUGAAUCUUCGCCGAGGUGGAGAAUUGUUGGAUUUUUUGGACGGGGGAACUUUUUUGUUCAGGAACGUACAUACGCAGUUAGGACGUUCGUACGUUCCAUUCGACAGAUAACUUUGGUGGGAAGGAACGUACGUACGUAGUUAGGGCGUACGUACGUCCCGUAGCACAGAUGUUGGUUUUUUGAAGCUGAACGUACGUACGUGAUUUCGACGUACAUACGUCCUCUCUUGGUUUUGUGUAUAUGGGCCGGUUUAAGCCCAUUUCGUGUGUGUUUGUAUGGCUAUGUUAUAAAGCCAAUUGAGAAGGUUGGAAAACCUAAUCUUCAUGUGAGAGAGAGAUUGUGAGAAGCCAUUGGUGAGUUUGAGAGAACUCUUGUGAGGAAGAACACUUUGGUUUCUUCGAGAGGGCUUGUAUAAUCGUCUCUAUUUGGAAGAUUGUUGUUUUGGUCGUGGACGUAGGCAAUAUUAGCCGAACCACGUAAAUCUUGUGUUUGUGUUUGUUUGUUUUUUUUGCUUUGUCAUCUUUCAUACACUAUUUCAAUCUUGGGUAUUGGUGCAUAAGCUUCCGCUGCGCACAACAGUAGCAAUACUAUAUAAAGUUUCUAGAAAGAUGCAAAUCCAUUUAGCUUUAAGAAAAAAAUUAACAAAUCAGAUUGUAUGCAUGCCUGAUCAAUGGGAACAUCUGAUGUGCAUUUGCACUCCAAAAAUCAUCACCAAGAAAGCAGCUUCAGCUUUUUGUUAAUCUGCAGUGUGGAACUCUCAAUCCAUCACCCAAAUACAAACUACACUGUAACUAGAAGCAUAUAUAUGGAAAAAACUUCAAAUUAAGAGAACAUUACUUACAUUAGUAUACCUUAUUUUUAAAGUCCAUACCAUAGCCAACUUAAAGGGUCUAGGAAACAAGCUAUUACCAACUGAUGGAAGGCAUCUUCAUCUGGUUCUUUAUAUCGCAGAGAGCUUGGAGUCAUGCCAUCGAGAAAUGAGAGUUCCUGUAGCAACAAAAUGAUAUGUGGACAAACUCAUACCAAAGGUGAAGACACGUCUAUUUACUUGGUAUGGGAAAAAAAAAAAGAUAAGCAGGACAGAGCUUUUUCCUAAGCUUAAAAAAAAUUCAAAAUUCAAACCUUUAGAGCAAUACUACCUCUCAAAUGUCAACAAUUACAAUUAAAAAAGGGGUAUUUAGGUUUUAGUCAUUUUAAUUAUAUACUAUUUAGGGAAUAAUCACUUAAGUUCGAUUAAUUAGGUUUUGAUCACUAGAACCGGGUUUAACCGGAAAAUUAUUUUAAAAGGCUAAAGUACCCUUACAUGUGAUAAGUUAAUUAAAUCUAAAAUACAACAGUAACAUCCAGAUCUCCAGACUCAAACUUUUUAAUUUCCACAAACCACCGUCCACCCCCAUUAGCUCUCUCUUACACCACAACACCACUGGAAAAAAAUAUUCACCUCCUCCCCACCGCCAUAGCACCACCGCCACCAAGUUGUUCUCUUUUCCUCCAUCACCACAACACCACCGCCACCUCUCUCUCUUUCUCUCUUCACCACAACACCACCAUCCACAUAAAUCUCUAGCUUCUUUGUUGUUGAAUAGAUGUCGAAUUUGGUUGAAAGAUUGGAUUCAUUUGGGGUUGAAAAUUGGGUUUUGUUUUUGGGUUUUUUUUUCAAUAAAUGGGUAUGUAGAAAAAGAAAGAGAAGAUUGUGAGAUUGAGUUGUUUUAGAUUUGGAAAGGAAAAGGAAUUGAAUUCUUCAGAUCUGGUCGAAGAAGAAAAGUUUGAUAAUCAUGGUAAAAAAAAAAGUUCUGAUGUUGGUUCUACACUUCUACUAGAGCUUUUGUUGAUUUGAACUCUGGGAAUUUGAUUUUUUUGAUUAUUGAUAAAAAUAAAAUAAAAUAGAUAAGGGCAUGGUGGUUGCAGAGACGGUGAGAAGAUAAGUGUUGGUUGUGUGAGGUGGAUGGACAGAUUAGACUAAGAAAAAUUCAAACGGGGUACUUUGGGUAUUUUUGAAAAUAUACUGGUUCAGCUACCGGUUCGUGACUAAAAUUUAAUUAAUCGAACUUAAGUGACUAUUCCCUAAAUAGUAUAUACUUAAAGUGAUUAAAACCUAAAUACCCCUUAAAAAAAUAAAACAAUACACAAUUAAGAUCCUAACAAAUAUAAAGUCCAUGGACGACAAAGACAACUGAGCCUAAUUAAACUUCGACAUGAAGUCUACACCUAAUUUAAGCAAAAUAAUCAAAGCAGACCUAAAAAUUUAGUGCCUAAUUUGGAUUUAUCAAACAAGAUAACAUCAAGAAGAUAAGAUUUUUAAGAAACUAGUACAAAGCAAUACCCUAUGUCAACAAUGAAAUUGACUCGUUUUUUCAAUUAAUCAUGAAAAUAAUGAGUUGGGUUAUCGAUCUAGUUAGAGAGAAAGAGAGAGAAAGAGAGAGUACCUCUGAGAAGUCGAUUUUUCUUCAGUUUAUUAAUUGUCUGAAAAACCCUAACAAAAAGAGUAAAAGAACUUAAGAAGAUAGAUCUGUAAAGAACGAUUUGUGGGAAAACAUUAAGAAAGAAUAAAAAUUAGAGAGAAAUUGAAGGUACAUAC
rnacentral:lncRNA from 1 species